AAUAGAUACCCGGGUAGUCCACGCCGUAAACGAUGAGUGCUAAGUGUUAGAGGGUUUCCGCCCUUUAGUGCUGCAGCUAACGCAUUAAGCACUCCGCCUGGGGAGUACGGUCGCAAGACUGAAACUCAAAGGAAUUGACGGGGGCCCGCACAAGCGGUGGAGCACGUGGUUUAAUUCGAAGCAACGCGAAGAACCUUACCAGGUCUUGACAUCCUCUGACAACUCUAGAGAUAGAGCGUUCCCCUUCGGGGGACAGAGUGACAGGUGGUGCAUGGUUGUCGUCAGCUCGUGUCGUGAGAUGUUGGGUUAAGUCCCGCAACGAGCGCAACCCUUGAUCUUAGUUGCCAGCAUUUAGUUGGGCACUCUAAGGUGACUGCCGGUGACAAACCGGAGGAAGGUGGGGAUGACGUCAAAUCAUCAUGCCCCUUAUGACCUGGGCUACACACGUGCUACAAUGGAUGGUACAAAGGGCUGCAAGACCGCGAGGUCAAGCCAAUCCCAUAAAACCAUUCUCAGUUCGGA
rnacentral:rRNA from 1 species